CUUGUACUCCCUCCGUCCCAAAAUUCUUGUCUUAGAUUUGUCUUGAUACGGAUGUAUCUAAUACUAAAACAUGACUUGAUACAUCCGUAUUUAGACAAAUUUAAGACAAGAAUUUUGGGACGGAGGGAGUAGUAC
rnacentral:pre_miRNA from 1 species